GCCCUAGAGAGUCACAGAACAGCUCCUUCCACGGUGGGUGUGGGCGAUUUGAAAAAUACCAAGACUGUGUCUUGCUAGUAUUCACAGGGAAUGGCAUAAAACAGACUUCUUCAUGAGCUUUCAACAAUAUAAGUUCUAGAAACUCUACGGUGGAAAACCUUGGAAUUAAAGUGAUAAUAGAAUCGUCAAAUGGAAGAAGCCAUUCUAAACCAGCUUUUUCUGUCACGUGAGCCCUUGAAGAUCCUUCCCGGUUUAGUCAUCUUCAUGCCUGAUAUGUGACACCCGUCGUGUGUGGAGGGACCGAAAGCAUGUGCUGACCGCUGCUGCCAGGUGCUCUUCGACUUAGAGAUCCUUGCCUGGAAUUCACACCCAAUAUGCCUCAAGAUCUCCAUGCCAGGAUCCAGGUCAGAAAUUUGUAUCUCCCAGUCACAAGAUCAGGAUCACAGAUUCCCCCCAGCUCCCCAACUAUUUAAUGCCAAGCCAUCUUUCUCUCCUUCUUCGGAAAACAAGCAAAUAAGAAAAGAGCAGCAACAACAACGGAAUAAAAAAAAAAGGCAAAAACAAAGAAGUUGGAGAAACAUACAUGCAGACAUAGUCACACUCAAAAUUCCACAGAAUCAGAAACUGUAACAUCCAAGUAAAGGAUCAGUAAGAUUUUUUCAAACAGUGCCCAAACAGGGCAGUAUGAGACAAAAAGUCUCCGAAAAUACCACAGGGUUCAUUUUGUAUUGCCAAUCUACUGCUAGGCAUGGGACCUGCCUUUUAAGUGUGUUUUGUAUAGCUAACGAGACUCCAUUGGAGAAAACCAAUUUUUCUUUUGCAAGCAGUUGUUAGUUUGGGAUAACAUCUUGGUUAGGGGUGGUGGGUGUAAGUUACAUUUUGCAUAUGCUAGGCCCAGGGAGUGGCACUAUUAGAAGGUGUCUUGUUGGAGAAGGUGUGUCACUGUGGGUAUGGGCUUUAAGACCCUCAUCCUAGCUGCCUGGAAGUCAGUAUUCUGCUAGCAGCCUUCAGAUGAAGAUGUAGAACUCUCAGCUCCUCCUGCACCAUGCCUGCCUGGAUACCACCAUGCUCCCUCCUUGACGAUAAUGGACUGAACCUCUGAACCUAUAAGCC